UGCGGUGAUUUGGCUAGAUUGGCUGCUGCGCGGGCCGGCCAGCGGGUUGCCCCCGCUACUGCGAAACGUCAUGGCGAGGAAUGGGGGUGGGCGCGUCCGCAUUUCUCUUGGCAUGCAGAAGUCCACAGAACAAUCAGGGAUCUAGCCGAUACCGAAACGUGCGGAAACGGGAACCUGCGGAAAUAGGCUUCUUCCCGCUUCCCGCAGCCAGAGCCUAGAAUGACGGAAGUGCGGAAAGAGAAUUAGCAUUUCCGCUUUGCAGUACGGCGGAAAGUGGAAAACAGAUCCCACGCCUGCGUUUGCCGCAUGAUAUGAGUGCUUACGUCAAUUGAUAUUGCUUUAGGGUUAAUAUCUGCAAUCACUGCCCUCGACCUUGGGGCUUAAAGAGAUUGACUGUGUUUCAGCUCAAAAGAAGGGUGGACGGCCUGCUACCGACGUUUGCAAGUAUAUAGAGAAAGGACCUUAUGACAAGAUCAAGAACUGAUCUUCACCCUGCAAGGGCUGCCGUCGCCAAUGUGGAUGGUGUGCCCUAUGGCAUAAAACGAGGGGUAACCCCCCCUUAAGCAUCCCCUUGGGCUGGGAUUCUGGGAUAAAUGAAGUUACCAACGUACGCGUGGCCUCUUCAUUUCUGUUCUCCUGGAUGGUUGAUAUGGGAAGGCGGAAACAAGUUGCUAAGGGUCCUUACACUGCCGAAAAACACAACCCCAGCCCCACGGCCACUAUACCCCCCUCGUGCUGCCCACCAAUGCCCUCAGCGGGGCAACACGCGCAUGACGCAUAAACCUAUCCAAAGAACUUCGAACGACUCUCAGACUCUCAUGUGGCGACAUCUAUAGAGGUAGCUACCUCCUGAACCCGGGAAAAUCCCUGCAGGUUAAGCUGACUAGUUUCCCCCUACACCAAGCACUAUCCCUUCUGAGCUCUCAAGGCCACACUACUGGGCUAAAAGACUCGACCGAACCAACCCCGUCCCGGCCCGCCGGCUGUCCAGCCGCCCCUCAGCGGCCGUUUGCCACAAGCCUGCAGCUGGCAGAGCCUGGCGCGGAGGUGUCUGCGAUUGACCGGCGAAGAAGGGAAAGGGAAACUUGUUAAUCCACGAUUGAUUUCUUUUCAGAACUAGCCAGAGACACAAUGGAUUUCAAGCUAAAUUGCGUUCCCCAAUCCACUUCGAACUGUAUGAAUGCGAAUGAAUAAUCUUAUUAGGGACAAUAAUAUUAAUACGGCACGGGAGUUUCAUGCCCUCAAAGCGGGAACAAACGCUAAAACUGAAUACAUACAUAGUUCUAAAUCUUCUACUAAAAUUUUCCUGUAGCGUUAGAGGCCUUUAAUUCAUAUUGGCGAACGAUGCUUCCCGAGCUACCGGGAUACUGUAGGUUCAACAUGUACAUGUAACAUGUACAUUUACAGAAAUGUACUAAAAAGAAUUCACGAAGUGCGCAGCAAAUAAGAUGAGUAGCCUAUAGGCCCAUGUCCAUAGUCCAGGGCAACGGAGGGGGUUACCCUGGGGCCGUGUUACCCCUCCUGCUGGGUAGGAACUUACAAGGGGGUUACCAAUGGGCUACGGGGGGUUGAAGGUGG
rnacentral:lncRNA from 1 species